CUUAAUGAAUUGGCGGAGGCGCGCACGAGCGGUGGAGCAUGUGGUUUAAUUCGACGCAACGCGAAGAACCUUACCUGGCCUUGACAUCCAGAGAACUUUCCAGAGAUGGAUUGGUGCCUUCGGGAACUCUGAGACAGGUGCUGCAUGGCCGUCGUCAGCUCGUGUUGUGAGAUGUUGGGUUAUGUCCCGUAACGAGCGCAACCCCUAUCCCUGGUUGCUAGCAGGUAAUGCUGAGAACUCCAGGGAGACUGCCGGUGACAAACCGGAGGAAGGUGGGGAUGACGUCAGGUCAUCAUGACCCUUACGGCCAGGGCUACACACGUGCUACAAUGGCGCGUACAGAGGGCUGCCAACUCGCGAGAGUGCGCCAAUCCCUUAAAACGCGUCGUAGUCCGGAUCGGAGUCUGCAACUCGACUCCGUGAAGUCGGAAUCGCUAGUAAUCGCGAAUCAGAAUGUCGCGGUGAAUACGUUCCCGGCCCUUUGCACACACCGCCCG
rnacentral:rRNA from 1 species